CAGGUUUGACACAAUUCUCCCUUGGAUCCAGACUUUGGAUUCUGGCUCAGGAUAGAACGCUGGCGGCGUGCCUAAUACAUGCAAGUCGAACGCACAGCGAAAGGUGCUUGCACCUUUCAAGUGGAGUGGCGAACGGGUGAGUAACACGUGGACAACCUGCCUCAAGGCUGGGGAUAACAUUUGGAAACAGAUGCUAAUACCGAAUAAAACUUAGUGUCGCAUGACACAAAGUUAAAAGGCGCUUCGGCGUCACCUAGAGAUGGAUCCGCGGUGCAUUAGUUAGUUGGUGGGGUUAAAGGCCUACCAAGACAAUGAUGCAUAGCCGAGUAGAGAGACUGAUCGGCCACAUUGGGACUGAGACACCGGCCCAAACUCCUACGGGAGGCUGCAGUAGGGAAUCUUCCACAAUGGGCGAAAGCCUGAUUGGAGCAACGCCGCGUGUGUGAUGAAAGGCUUUCGGGUCGUAAAGCACUGUUGUAUGGGAAGAACAGCUAGAAUAGGAAAUGAUUUUAGUUUGACGGUACCAUACCAGAAAGGGACGGCUAAAUACGUGCCAGCAGCCGCGGUAAUACGUAUGUCCCGAGCGUUAUCCGGAUUUAUUGGGUGUAAAGCGAGCGCAGACGGUUUAUUAAGUCUGAUGUGAAAGCCCGGAGCUCAACCUCCGGAAUGGCAUUGGAAACUGGUUAACUUGAGUGCAGUAGAAGGUAAGUGGAACUCCAUGUGUAGCGGUGGAAUGCGUAGAUAUAUGGAAGAACACCAGUGGCGAAGGCGGCUUAUCUGGACUGCAACUGACGUUGAGGCUCGAAAGUGUGGGUAGCAAACAGGAUUAGAUACCCUGGUAGUCCACGUACCGUACAUACGAUGAACAUUAGCGUUAGUAUCAGGAUAGGUUUCCUGCCAUACUUCCAGUGCCGAAGCUAACGCAUUAAGUGUUCCGCCUGGGGAGUACGACCGCAAGG
rnacentral:rRNA from 1 species